GUUAGCUGAAAAUCAUCUGCAGCUUUGGACUUGGCCGAGGGUGAGAUUUGAUACUCAGAGCCUCCAGGGGCCUUAGCUCACCACCCACUCCUCGGUGUGGGAAGGUGAAACCCAGGCCCUGACACAC
ensembl:snoRNA